CACGGAGAGUUUGAUUCUGGCUCAGAACGAACGCUGGCGGCGUGGAUAAGACAUGCAAGUCGGACGCUAAUUGCCGGGUAGCAAUAUUCGGCAGUUGGAGUGGCGUAAGGGUGCGUAACACGUGGGUAAUCUGCCGUGAAGUCGGGGAUAACUCGCUGAAAGGCGAGCUAAUACCGGAUGUUGAUCUUGAGUGGAAUCGUUCAGGAUCCAAAGUUGGGGACCGUAAGGCCUGACGCUUCACGAUGAGCCCGCGGCCUAUCAGCUAGUUGGUGAGGUAACAGCUCACCAAGGCUAAGACGGGUAGCUGGUCUGAGAGGACGACCAGCCGACGCGGGGUGGGGGAUGAAUGGCUUCGGCCCGUAAACCCCUGUCAUUUGCGAACAAUUCGUGCUACCUAACACGUAGCGCGUUGAUAGUAGCGAAAGAGGAAGGGACGGCUAACUCUGUGCCAGCAGCCGCGGUAAUACAGAGGUCCCAAGCGUUGUUCGGAUUCACUGGGCGUAAAGGGUGCGUAGGCGGUCGGGUAAGUCUGAUGUGAAAUCUCCGAGCUCAACUCGGAAAUGGCAUUGGAUACUAUUCGGCUGGAGGGUUGGAGGGGGGACUGGAAUUCUCGGUGUAGCAGUGAAAUGCGUAGAUAUCGAGAGGAACACCAGUGGCGAAGGCGAGUCCCUGGACAACUCCUGACGCUGAGGCACGAAAGCUAGGGGAGCAAACAGGAUUAGAUACCCUGGUAGUCCUAGCCGUAAACGGUGCACGUUUGCUGUAAAAGGAAUCGACCCCUUUUGUGGCGUAGCCAACGCGUUAAACGUGCCGCCUGGGAAGUACGGUCGCAAGAUUAAAACUCAAAGAAAUUGACGGGGGCCUGCACAAGCGGUGGAGUAUGUGGCUCAAUUCGAUGCAACGCGAAGAACCUUACCUGGCCUUGACAUGUACGUAGUAGAAGGGUGAAAGCCUGACGAGGUAGCAAUACCAGCGUACACAGGUGCUGCAUGGCUGUCGUCAGCUCGUGUCG
rnacentral:rRNA from 1 species